rnacentral:tRNA from 4 species
UGGAGUAUAGCCAAGCGGUAAGGCGUCGGUUUUUGGUAUCGAGAUUCAAAGGUUCGAAUCCUUUUACUCCAG